UACGUAGGGUGCAAGCGUUGUCCGGAAUUAUUGGGCGUAAAGGGCUCGUAGGCGGCUUGUCGCGUCGGCUGUGAAAACCCAUGGCUCAACCGUGGGCUUGCAGCCGAUACGGGCAGGCUAGAGUUCGGUAGGGGAGACUGGAAUUCCUGGUGUAGCGGUGAAAUGCGCAGAUAUCAGGAAGAACACCUAUGGCGAAGGCAGCUCUCUGGGACGGUACUGACGCUGAGACGCGAAAGCGUGGGGAGCGAACAGG
rnacentral:rRNA from 1 species